AUAAUCAUAAUUUUUUUUUUUUUUUGUCCUGUUAUUGAACUACUGUUUUUAAUCAUAGGAUCAGAGGAAGUCAUCAAGGAUUCAUAUCAUUUAAGAUGGAGGCCCAGUCUGAGACCCGACUGUUGCUAUAGGGACUGGACCGAGGACCAUUCAGACGUGCCCCGCAGACUCACCCCAUCGGCCCCCCGAGACCUGCCCAGACGUGACCUCUGUAGCCCUCUUUUCAACCGUGGUAUGGUAGGGUGUGCUGACGAGCUGGAGAGAUGGGUAAUUCUAGCCAAUUUUCUGCUUUUUAAUAGCUCAAGGGGUUCAAGAUGGUGUGGAUGGGUGUGUGAGAAAUGGGAUUUGAAUAUAGAAUUGUGUGCAGACGUAGCGGAAGUGUUUGUAUUAUCCUGUGAUGAUUAUAAUCAGUGGUGUAACAGGAGCGAUCUGACAGACACAAGAUCUGCUAAGAAUAUCUGAUAAUAACACACUCAUUCUGUCCACUUUAAAGAGGGUCAGCAUAGUGGAGAUGAUGUUCAUUUGUUGUUAUUAUAUGUCAAACUAUUAAGGAUAUUAUGCUAAAAAGCCAUUUAAAAUUGUGCUAAUAUUCCCUGAACCACAAAAGCAGUCAUAAGUAGCAGGGGUAUAAUUGUAGUAAUAGCCAACAAUACACUGUAUGGGUCAAAAUGAUAAAUUUUUCUUGUAUGACAAAAAUCAUUAGGAUAUUAAGUAAAGAUCAUGUUCCAUUAAGAUAUUUAGUAAAUUUCCUACCGUAAAUAUAUCAAAACUUAAUUUUUGAUUAGUAACAUGCAUCGCUAAGAACUUCAUUUGGACAACUUUAAAGGUGAUUUUCUCAAUAUUUAGAUUCCAGAUUUUCAAAUAGUUGUAUCUCGGCCAAAUAUUGCCCUUACAAACCAUAGGCCUACAUCAAUGUAAAGCUUAUUUAUUCAGCUUUCAGAUGAUGUAUAAAUCUCAAUUUAAAAAAAAUUGACCCCAUAUGACUCUUUUUUUGUGGUCCAGGGUCACAUACGAUGAUUUUUAGACGGCUUCCCGCCAUGUUUAAUUUGAAAGCGAGGAUAAGCACACGUUAAAAGGCCAUUUAAAAUGUUACUUUGACUUUGCUAAGUCAAUUCAACGCUAAAAUACAUCUUUCCAGACCGUUUUCAUCAGUUUUACCUUUGUUGUGUCAAAGAAACUACGG
rnacentral:lncRNA from 1 species